rnacentral:rRNA from 1 species
GACGAACGCUGGCGGCGUGCCUAAUACAUGCAAGUAGGACGCAGUUGCGAACGGGUGAGUAACGCGUAGGUAACUACCUAUUAGAGGGGGAUAACUAUUGGAAACGAUAGAUAAUACCGCAUACUAGUAGAUGGACCUGCGUUGUAUUAGGUAGUUGGUAGGGUAAUGGCCUACCCAGGCAACGAUACAUAUCUGACAGGGGAGGGUGAUCGGCCCCCAUGGGACUGAGGCUCUGCCCCGGUUCCUACGGGAUGCAGGACUAGGUAAUCUUCGGCAAUUGGGGGAACCCUGACCGGGCAACGCCGCGGGCGUGAAAAAGGUUUUCGGGUCGUAAAGCUCUUUUCUUAAGGAAACGGUACUUAACCAGAAGGGGACGGCUAACUACGUGCCAGCAGCCGCGGUAAUUC